rnacentral:rRNA from 1 species
CCUACGGGUGGCUGCAGUGAGGAAUAUUGGUCAAUGGGCGCGAGCCUGAACCAGCCACGUCGCGUGAGGGAUGAAGGUUCUAUGGAUCGUAAACCUCUUUUAUAAGGGAAUAAAGUGUGGGACGUGUCCUAUUUUGUAUGUACCUUAUGAAUAAGGAUCGGCUAACUCCGUGCCAGCAGCCGCGGUAAUACGGCGGAUCCGAGCGUUAUCCGGAUUUGUUGGGUUUAACGGGUGCGUAGGCGGCCUUUUAAGUCAGCGGUGAAAGUCGGUGGCUCAACCAUAGAAUUGCCGUUGAAAUUGGGGGGCUUGAGUAGGUUUGAGGCAGGCGGAAGGCGUGGUGUAGCGGUGAAAUGCUUAGAAAUCACGCAGAACCCCGAUUGCGAAGGCAGCCUGCCAAGCCAUGACUGACGCUGAUGCACGAAAGCGUGGGGAUCAAACAGGAUUAGAUACCCCUGUAGUC